UCAUGCAUUUCCCUUCUUACCCUGACACGCCCAUUGCUUUGGAAUAGGGUAAAUCUGAUUUUAUCAGACCA